GACGAACGCUGGCGGCGUGCCUAAUACAUGCAGGUCGAGCGAGUCUGCCUUGAAGAUCGGAGUGCUUGCACUCUGUGAAACAAGAUACCGGCUAGCGGCGGACGGGUGAGUAACACGUGGGUAACCUGCCCAAGAGAUCGGGAUAACACCUGGAAACAGAUGCUAAUACCGGAUAACAACAGAUGAUGCCUAUCAACUGUUUAAAAGAUGGUUCUGCUAUCACUCUUGGAUGGACCUGCGGUGCAUUAGCUAGUUGGUAGGGUAACGGCCUACCAAGGCGAUGAUGCAUAGCCGAGUUGAGAGACUGAUCGGCCACAUUGGGACUGAGACACGGCCCAAACUCCUACGGGAGGCAGCAGUAGGGAAUCUUCCACAAUGGACGCAAGUCUGAUGGAGCAACGCCGCGUGAGUGAAGAAGGGUUUCGGCUCGUAAAGCUCUGUUGUUGGUGAAGAAGGACAGGGGUAGUAACUGACCUUUGUUUGACGGUAAUCAAUUAGAAAGUCACGGCUAACUACGUG
rnacentral:rRNA from 1 species